UAUCAUGUACAUGUCCCAAAACUAUGCAAAACCAAGGUGCAUAUGCAAAUGUGAUCUCCAUACGUGCUCCCAAAAGACUACUUCAUAAUGGCCGUCUUCAGAUUUCAUCCCCUACAUUACCUACACUCGAAAACAACUAUCACUAAGCAUAAAGCUUAGUGGCGUAUAAACUGUGGGCUUGGAGUCAUUAAAUUCUCCAAUUCCCCUUUUCUGUCAUAGUUAGCUCAAUUUAACAUAAUUUAAAAUAAGUGAACAAAUAUAUCAAACAUAUCAAAUAUCAAACUUUGAAGUGUUUCCAAAUAUCAACAAUAAUGUUCAAGAGUCGAGAAAGCGUAUACUAUCAAUCCAAGAGAGUUUACCAAAUAUCCAUAUUUCGCCCAAUAUAUACGUCAUGCCAUCACACUAAGUAUGACCAGAUAUCAAGAUGGACUGAAGCCCCAAAUCAAUUAAGGUCAAAACCCAAUAGUCAAGAGAAUCAAGAACCAUAUUAAAAAUGGCUUCCUAGUUCGCACUUAAUACGGGCAAGUUCCAUAAUUUAAGACGAACUACAAAUCCAAAGUCAACAUGGCAAAAGAUCCAAAUCAAGAGGCAUGCCAAGAGGAGUGACAAAGUCACUGCCACAAGAAGGACAUAGUCCCAACAAGAAUGCAAAAUGAUCAAACAAUCCGUACAAAUGGGCAAUUUAGCAAAUAUCUCACAAUACUUGAUAUAAUACGAAUAUAUUAAUAUAAAUUGAAGAGAAGAAAAAUAAAUAUUAGGUUAUUUCAAAAUAUUCCAGCAAGCAAAAACAGUGUAUAUUUUAUACACAAACCUUGGUGUUUUACCACAAAACAGUUCAAUCACAACUUGGGGACGUUCGAAUCGUCUACGCCGUAAACAAACGAAAUCCGUCCACUUCCUCAAUCACUUUUUCUUUGAUUUUUUAAGGGUUUAUAUACCUUAAAUACACAAUAAAGUAUAUAAAUAAGUUCAAUGAUUUAACAUGUCAAACUAAACAUGAUAUUGGUGAAAAUUACCCAAAAAUGUUUGAAACAGAAAUUCUGUACAGCAUCACUGUUUUGUGUUGUGGCUCAGUUUGGAAGAUCUAAACGGGCAAACCAGACUGUAUAGUCUUCAUAAAAUUGUAGAUCUAUAUCUUAGAGUUUCAGAACAUCUUGAAUCACCCACAUAUCUAUUUUGUAUAGAAUGUUAUGCUAAAAUUACUAACAAUAGUACAUUGAGUAUUUCUAAAACUGAAAAUCUGGGCAGCACCUUCCCUGUGCUUUCUGAUCCUUUUUAGGGUAAAUACCAGCAAAAAUAGAUUUUGGUUCCUUCAUAAGAGUUAUAGAUCUAUGAAAUACCUUUCCAGAAAGUUCUGGAUCACUUAAAUCCGAGCUCUGCACAAAAUGAUAUAUAGAAAACACUAAUAUCUAUCUAGUGCAAAAACGAGUCUAGAAACUUACCACAAAAGAGAGGAGCAACUUGAUCUUCACCAAAAAAACGAAUUUUUCUAGUUGAUUUAGUAGAAAUUUAUGGUGGUUUCAUGAAGUUUUUAGAGGCUAAGAAGGAGAGAGGGUAGGUGGUUUUGUUUCUUUGUCUUGCAAGAAUGAAACAAGAGAGAAGGAUAUGGAAAGACAAGUCUUCCAAAGUUAUAUCUAAACUUUGGAUAAGUAUGAAAAAUGUGGC
rnacentral:lncRNA from 1 species